rnacentral:rRNA from 1 species
GACGAACGCUGGCGGCGUGCUUAACACAUGCAAGUCGAACGAUGAAGAAGAGAAACGCGAACUUCGGUUCAAAUUUCACAUCGGAUUAGUGGCAGACGGGUGAGUAACGCGUGAGCAACCUACCUCUUACAAAGGGAUAGCCUCGGGAAACCGUGAUUAAUACCAUAUGACUCAUUCAUAAGGCAUCUUAAGAAUGUUAAAGCUACGGCGGUAAGAGAUGGGCUCGCGUACCACUAGCUAGUUGGUGAGGUAACGGCCCACCAAGGCGACGAUGGGUAACCGGCCUGAGAGGGUGAACCGUCACAUUGGAACUGAGACACGGUCCAAAUUCCUGCGGGUGGCGGCAGUGGCGAAUAUUGCACAGUGGAGGGAACUCUGAUGGAGCGCGGCCGCGUGAGCGAUGAAGGAAUUGGUUUCGUAAAGCUCUGUUCUAUGGGACGAAAAGGACUGUACCAUAGGAGAAAGCCCCGGCUAACUACGUG